CCAAUAGCGUAUAUUAAAGUUGUUGCAGUUAAAAAGCUCGUAGUUGAAUUUCGGGAUCAAUAUGUCGGUCGUGCUUUUUGGUACGUACUGGCGUCAUUGGUUUCUCCUUUCUGACGAACCAUGAUGUCAUUAAUUUGGUGCUAUGGGAAGUUAGGACUGUUACUUUGAAAAAAUUAGAGUGUUUAAAGCAGGCAUUAGCUUGAAUACAUUAGCAUGGAAUAAUGAAAUAGGACGUUCGAUCCUAUUUUGUUGGUUUCUAGGAUCAACGUAAUGAUUAAUAGGGAUAGUUGGGGGCAUUAGUAUUUAAUUGUCAGAGGUGAAAUUCUUGGAUUUAUUGAAGACCAACUACUGCGAAAGCAUUUGCCAAGGAUGUUUUCAUUAAUCAAGAACGAAAGUUAGGGGAUCGAAGACGAUCAGAUACCGUCGUAGUCUUAACCAUAAACUAUGCCAACUAGGGAUCGGAUGAUGUUAAUUUUUUAAUGAUUCAUUCGGCGCCUUACG
rnacentral:rRNA from 1 species